rnacentral:rRNA from 1 species
AUACGGAGGGAGCGAGCGUUAAUCGGAAUUACUGGGCGUAAAGCGCGCGUAGGCGGCUUUGUAAGUCGGAUGUGAAAGCCCUGGGCUCAACCCAGGAAUUGCAUUCGAUACUGCAGAGCUAGAGUAUGGUAGAGGGAAGUGGAAUUUCCGGUGUAGCGGUGAAAUGCGUAGAUAUCGGAAGGAACACCAGUGGCGAAGGCGACUUCCUGGGCCAAUACUGACGCUGAGGUGCGAAAGCGUGGGGAGCAAACAGGAUUAGAAACCCUGGUAGUCC